rnacentral:rRNA from 1 species
UACGGAGGGUGCGAACGUUGCUCGGAAUCAUUGGGCGUAAAGCGCACGUAGGCGGCGGCGUAAGCGGGAUGUGAAAGCCCAGGGCUCAACCCUGGAAGUGCAUCCCGAACUGUGUCGCUUGAAUCUCGGAGGGGGAGCAGAGAAUUCCCCGGUGUAGAGGUGAAAUUCGUAGAUAUCGGGAGAAUACCAGUGGCGAAGGCGCUGUCCUGGACGAAGAUUGACGCUGAGGUGCGAAAGCGUGGG